AUUGAACGCUGGCGGCAGGCCUAACACAUGCAAGUCGAGCGAGCGGCGGACGGGUGAGUAAUGUAUGGGGACUGCCCGAUAGAGGGGGAUAACUACUGGAAACGGUGGCUAAUACCGCAUACUAUCGGAUAACCCAUAUGGGAUGAGCUAGUAGGUGGGGUAAAGGCUAACCUAGGCGACGAUCGCUAUCUGGUCUGAGAGGAGGAGCAGCCACACUGGGACUGAGACACGGCCCAGACUCCUACGGAGGCAGCAGUGGGGAUGAUUGCACAAUGGGCGCAGGCAUGAUGCUGCCAUGCCGCGUGUAUGGAGAUGGCCUUAGGGGUGUAAAGUACUUUCAGCGGGGAGGCGUUACCCGCAGAAGAAGCACCGGCUAACUCCGUGCCAGCAGCCGCGGUAAUAC
rnacentral:rRNA from 1 species